GUUUGUAGUCUCUCCCCCCUCCCCUUUUCUCCUCCUCCUGCUCUUCCCCCUCCCCAAACUCCCUCCCUCCGCCCAGCUCUGCGCGCAGCCGUGGGAUCUCGGAGGAGGGCGUCUAUUAGGCCGCGUGUGACCAUGUAAGAAUAUAGCACCUGCUGGGGUUGAGAGCACCACACUCCAAAGUUUGUCACCUCAGAUUGCUGAAUAUUUUGAGAUGUAGGAGACUGGGAGAACUACAGAAGCAAGAUGGUCUCUGAUCUUCCCCUGGUCAUUUAAGAGUUGUUUCUUCCAUGAAGCUGUUCAUGAAAACUAGAACCCUGUUUGGAAGCAAGUCAUACAACCUAGGAAGGUCACUCUUCAAUUUCCUUCCUUCUCCCUUGAAGAUCCACCCUCAUGUGACAGGUGUCCUGCUCGGCACCCACCCCCAGGCCAAGAAGAGUCUGAACAAAUAAGCCUUGCUAAGUUCUGCCACCACCCCAGGCUUAUUUCCCUUAGAUCAUGCCUCCUUUUGGCAAUCAUACUUCUACAUGACUUCCAUUCUUCAUCAAACCUAAGCAUAAAAAUAUACACUUUCCCCUGAGGGUUUGGGUCUUCAUAUCUGAAGUCUCUCAUGCCAAUGUAAAACUUUAAUUAAAUUUGUUAUGCUUU